rnacentral:lncRNA from 1 species
GAGAAGCCAGCCUCUGCGUGUGCUCUCACCCCGUCCUCUGAGUCGCCCUGGCAAGUAGGAUGGAUAAAGGGCUGCCAGCCCCUAGGACCCAGCUCUCAAGUAGAGGGAUGCCAGUGGAGUCCUUGUUAGACCACAGAUAACCUAGAAGGCCACCUGCUCUGGAGUUAGCUCCGUCUUUCUUUACUGAAGAAACGUGGCUGAGGCUAAGAGGGAAGAAAGGAAGGUCCAGGAGAGUGUCGUAAGUGGAGCCUCAGAAACCACAGGUGGAUUGGCUUCUGCUCCGUGGGGUCUUGCGGACCCAUCUGGGUCUUUGCGGCCGUCUAGGUGCUUAGUGCCUAUUUGGUGAUGUUUUGGCCAUUUCUAAGGGAAGGGGUGAGCCAGCUGAUGGGUGGGAGGGUCUGAGGCUUGAUGCCAGUGAAUACUGUCAAGUGGAGCAUGUGGUUUGUGGGGUUCAGAGGGAAGGAAGGGUGGGGCCAAACGGACGGUUGUCUCCUGGACUGGAUUUGCGUUCUGGCCUUACUGGCGGUGGGUGGCCGGCAGGCUGUGGUGGCCAGCUGGCCUUGUCCUCCUCACCCUGGCAGGUUCAACCCGCCCAAACACCAGAGCUGUCCUUACCAAAUUGGAAAGGAAAGUGCAAGUGUUCCUUUCUUUAGCCAAAGAACCCUUCUAGGAGACACCCCCACGUGCGGACAGAACGGCUUCCUUUCUGGGCAAUAAUGACUUCAUCAGUGAGUGAUGCCAUCCCAUUUGUCUUUCUCUUUCCCCUCUCUCCUGACUUGGCUUUUCGUUUUGUCUGGAGUUUUUGUUGUCGUUGCUUUUUUUUCUUUCAAAACUGAGCUCAUCUUGUGAGAGGAGUCGAGGUCAGUCGCCCUAAAUACUGCUGCUCUUGAGAAGCACAGCACGGAUCUGGGGGCUUAGCUCAUCUCAUGUUUCCCAGGAGAGUCAGACCUUCUGCCCAGAGGUGCUUUGGGGUUCACUUGCACACUGGCGCCGGGCUUGGGGUGUGGGUACAUUUCCGCUUUGAUGCCUUAGACUCACUUCUGGUCUCUGGACUCAGCCGAGAACAGGAGAUGGCGAAAUGACAUGUAAAUGCAAUCGAGACCUCUCAAAGGCCCUUGGUGCCCUCGCUCCCUGGAGUGAGCCAUCCUAAGAGAGGCCUCUCCCAUCGUUCUUGCAACUUCCAGGAGUCCGAGAGGGCCAGCUCCAAACCAGUUCCUCCCGCAAGACUCAGUGCGCGCUUACAGAGCAGUGACCCUCCCGAG